ACUUCGGAGCAGUCACUUUGCCCCAAGCAAGUAGCGCCCCUGUUCUUGCAGGAGGCACCUUUGGGGGGGGGGGUCCCUGCAGCCUACAAACUGGAAUUCCUAUUUGUCACAGUUCUCUACUGCACUGAGUCCCAGACUGUCUCCCCAAAAGGAGGCGCAUUGGUUUAUUGGAGACCUCCCCAGCGUCAGCCAACAGGGUUUCCUCUACCCUGUGCUUUUAUAAUGGACUUGAAGACCAGCAAGGAACGGGUGCUCUUGGGGAUCUAACUGAUGGGGAGCUUCUAUGCCUGAUUUUGGUGUGGAGGAUUUUGAUUUUUUUUUUUUCCCCUUAGACCUGGCAAAAGCAUUCCUCUCUCCACCCCCGCCCCUGCAUCCCGAUGUAAAUGCAACUUGUUUGGUGUGCUGUUUGAACAUCAAAGUUUUCUUCCCUUACCUGGAAAAAAAAAAUCUAUCUUUUGAAUUUAUCCGCCCCCCCCUCCGCCCCGCGCGCCCCAGCCCCCCAGUCUCCGCAGGCCUCCUGCUCACUGCGCGGUGAGAGCCAGCAGGGCGCACGGUGUGGAGACUGGAGUCAGCGGGAGCAGGAGCGAGGGAGCUGCGACCGGGACUCCUGGAGGCACCUGCCUGGGCCAGGCCAAAGAGCUGGGGAAAAGCUCCGAGGAGAAGCGGGAGCCUUCCGGACACUGGUGCCUGGAAACUGGAUUCUAAUCACCAGCCUGGUUCUACGUCUCUGUCGCUUUCUUUUUUUCCUCCUGACUUGAUAACUAGCAGAGAGAAGCACUUGGCACUAGAGCCCUGCGGGACCCAAGCUGCUGGGGUCUCAGGAUCCCUCUGUCCACUGCUCUGGGAAGAGCAAGGGAAGAACGCCCGCAGAUGCUUCCUGGAGCCUGGAGGAGUGAACCUGAUUCCAGUCCUUGCAUGCUGUAACAUGUACACAUCUCUGAAUGCACUGUGGACCCCUACGUUGUGGAGUUUUUUAAUGAUGGUCCAUUACUUUUGCUGUUCAUAUUAUGCAUGAAGCAUUUCCACUGUACAAUGUUUUGAAUCUUCACAGCCACCAGGUUCCAAAUGCCAGCAUGAUGCCCACCAGACUUCCCUGGACAGACAACCCCACCAAUGUGUCCUGGAGCUCUGAUUCCCCAGAACUCUGCCCCACUAGGAAAAGACAGAGAUAGUCUGGGGGUAUGGACAGACCUGUCAAAGCCCAUGUUCAUCUUGGAAGUAAUUACAGGAGCCAGACCUUCCACAUUCUACAUCCCACAAUGGCCUUGGGUCCAUACUCCCAGGGGGAUAAGGAAUAGGAAAGCUAUCAGGGGAGGGGAUGGGAUAUGGA